GCCGAAGUUGCCAAGCCAGGUCAAAGGCGGCAGACUCAAGAUCUGUUCCCGCAGGGGUUCGCCGGUUCAAAUCCGGCCUUCGGCACUA
rnacentral:tRNA from 1 species